GAAGUUAUGAGGAUGUGACUUCGUCCUCAGAUCAAAUCCAGGACUGACGAGGGACAAAGAGCAGCUUCUUCUCUUUAAAUGUUUCCUCCACACAUGAAGGUGGAAAGUGUCUGGAAGUCGACCUGAAUUUCAGAAGAUAAGAAGAAGGUGGACUCUGCUAUGGAUCAGACUGAGGACACACAGGAGGGAGUCCGUCCCUCCAAAACCACUUUGAGGGGGGACCAUGAGAACCAGACCAGAGAUCGGAGGAUCCCACAGCAAAGACCAGAAUCUACUGUACCCAGCUGUGUCUCCAUGAAGAGUGACGUGUCCAUGGUGGAAGCCAUGCUGUUUAAUGCGAGACAGUAUAGGUGAAUAGGUUCAAAUUUUUAACUAACAGAUAUAAAAUAGAUAUUACAUGAAUACAACAUUUGUUGGUUUUACAUGUUUUCUAUUAAUGUAUAUUUAAAUAUGUUAAUAAGGAGUUAUCUACUUAAAUAUGCACUCAUUUGCAUACAUUCCCAGAACAGAAAUCUGUAUAAUGGAUAAGGUGAGGUUCAAAUUAAUUUUUGUUUCAUUUUGUUAACAUACUAGAUUUACAGGUAUUUAUAAAGGAAAUUUUGGAUAUCUUUUUUUAUCACUACAUAAAUCACAAAAUACUGUCAACAGUCCAAACUAAAACAAUCGCAUUGCCAUAUUUUGUAGGAAUAAACUGUUCUAUAAGUCUGGCUCUGAAUGAUAUAUGAAGAAUCCCCUGUGUACAUACCUGCAGAAUGCAGUUAGGAAUAAAUGUGUGAAGUUUG